rnacentral:rRNA from 1 species
UAGUGAUCCGGUGGUUCUGAAUGGAAGGGCCAUCGCUCAACGGAUAAAAGGUACUCCGGGGAUAACAGGCUGAUACCGCCCAAGAGUUCAUAUCGACGGCGGUGUUUGGCACCUCGAUGUCGGCUCAUCACAUCCUGGGGCUGAAGUAGGUCCCAAGGGUAUGGCUGUUCGCCAUUUAAAGUGGUACGCGAGCUGGGUUUAGAACGUCGUGAGACAGUUCGGUCCCUAUCUGCCGUGGGCGCUGGAGAACUGAGGGGGGCUGCUCCUAGUACGAGAGGACCGGAGUGGACGCAUCACUGGUGUUCGGGUUGUCAUGCCAAUGGCACUGCCCGGUAGCUAAAUGCGGAAGAGAUAAGUGCUGAAAGCAUCUAAGCACGAAACUUGCCCCGAGAUGAGUUCUCCCUGACUCCUUGAGAGUCCUGAAGGAACGUUGAAGACGACGACGUUGAUAGGCCGGGUGUGUAAGCGCAGCGAUGCGUUGAGCUAACCGGUACUAAUGAACCGUGAGGCUUAACCUUACAACGCCGAAGGUGUUU